rnacentral:rRNA from 1 species
GGGUUGUGAGGUUAAGCGACUAAGCGUACACGGUGGAUGCCCUGGCAGUCAGAGGCGAUGAAGGACGUGCUAAUCUGCGAAAAGCGUCGGUAAGGUGAUAUGAACCGUUACAGCCGGCGAUGUCCGAAUGGGGAAACCCAGUGCAAUUCGUUGCACUAUCGUUAACUGAAUACAUAGGUUAACGAGGCGAACCGGGGGAACUGAAACAUCUAAGUACCCCGAGGAAAAGAAAUCAACCGAGAUUCCCCCAGUAGCGGCGAGCGAACGGGGAGCAGCCCAGAGUCUGAAUCAGCUUGUGUGUUAGUGGAACGGUCUGGAAAGUCCGACGGUACAGGGUGAUAGUCCCGUACACCAAAAUGCACAGGCUGUGAACUCGAAGAGUAGGGCGGGACACGUGGUAUCCUGUCUGAAUAUGGGGGACCAUCCUCCAAGGCUAAAUACUCCUGACUGACCGAUAGUGAACCAGUACCGUGAGGGAAAGGCGAAAAGAACCCCGGCGAGGGGAGUGAAAAAGAACCUGAAACCGUGUACGUACAAGCAGUGGGAGCACCUUCGGGUGUGACUGCGUACCUUUUGUAUAAUGGGUCAGCGACUUAUAUUCUGUAGCAAGGUUAACCGUAUAGGGGAGCCGCAGGGAAACCGAGUCUUAACUGGGCGUUAAGUUGCAGGGUAUAGACCCGAAACCCGGUGAUCUAGCCAUGGGCAGGUUGAAGGUUGGGUAACACUAACUGGAGGACCGAACCGACUAAUGUUGAAAAAUUAGCGGAUGACUUGUGGCUGGGGGUGAAAGGCCAAUCAAACCGGGAGAUAGCUGGUUCUCCCCGAAAGCUAUUUAGGUAGCGCCUCGUGAAUUCAUCUUCGGGGGUAGAGCACUGUUUCGGCUAGGGGGUCAUCCCGACUUACCAACCCGAUGCAAACUGCGAAUACCGAAGAAUGUUAUCACGGGAGACACACGGCGGGUGCUAACGUCCGUCGUGAAGAGGGAAACAACCCAGACCGCCAGCUAAGGUCCCAAAGUCAUGGUUAAGUGGGAAACGAUGUGGGAAGGCACAGACAGCCAGGAUGUUGGCUUAGAAGCAGCCAUCAUUUAAAGAAAGCGUAAUAGCUCACUGGUCGAGUCGGCCUGCGCGGAAGAUGUAACGGGGCUAAACCAUGCACCGAAGCUGCGGCAGCGACACUAUGUGUUGUUGGGUAGGGGAGCGUUCUGUAAGCCUGCGAAGGUGUGCUGUGAGGCAUGCUGGAGGUAUCAGAAGUGCGAAUGCUGACAUAAGUAACGAUAAAGCGGGUGAAAAGCCCGCUCGCCGGAAGACCAAGGGUUCCUGUCCAACGUUAAUCGGGGCAGGGUGAGUCGACCCCUAAGGCGAGGCCGAAAGGCGUAGUCGAUGGGAAACAGGUUAAUAUUCCUGUACUUGGUGUUACUGCGAAGGGGGGACGGAGAAGGCUAUGUUAGCCGGGCGACGGUUGUCCCGGUUUAAGCAUGUAGGCUGGUUGUCCAGGCAAAUCCGGAUAAUCAAGGCUGAGGUGUGAUGACGAGGCACUACGGUGCUGAAGUAACAAAUGCCCUGCUUCCAGGAAAAGCCUCUAAGCAUCAGGUAACAUUAAAUCGUACCCCAAACCGACACAGGUGGUCAGGUAGAGAAUACCAAGGCGCUUGAGAGAACUCGGGUGAAGGAACUAGGCAAAAUGGUGCCGUAACUUCGGGAGAAGGCACGCUGGUGUGUAGGUGAAGUCCCUGCGGAUGGAGCUGAGACCAGUCGAAGAUACCAGCUGGCUGCAACUGUUUAUUAAAAACACAGCACUGUGCAAACACGAAAGUGGACGUAUACGGUGUGACGCCUGCCCGGUGCCGGAAGGUUAAUUGAUGGGGUUAUCCGUAAGGAGAAGCUCUUGAUCGAAGCCCCGGUAAACGGCGGCCGUAACUAUAACGGUCCUAAGGUAGCGAAAUUCCUUGUCGGGUAAGUUCCGACCUGCACGAAUGGCGUAAUGAUGGCCAGGCUGUCUCCACCCGAGACUCAGUGAAAUUGAACUCGCUGUGAAGAUGCAGUGUACCCGCGGCAAGACGGAAAGACCCCGUGAACCUUUACUAUAGCUUGACACUGAACAUUGAGCCUUGAUGUGUAGGAUAGGUGGGAGGCUUUGAAGCGUGGACGCCAGUCUGCGUGGAGCCAACCUUGAAAUACCACCCUUUAAUGUUUGAUGUUCUAACGUUGGCCCCUUACCGGGGUUGCGGACAGUGUCUGGUGGGUAGUUUGACUGGGGCGGUCUCCUCCCAAAGCGUAACGGAGGAGCACGAAGGUUAGCUAAUCCUGGUCGGACAUCAGGAGGUUAGUGCAAUGGCAUAAGCUAGCUUGACUGCGAGCGUGACGGCGCGAGCAGGUGCGAAAGCAGGUCAUAGUGAUCCGGUGGUUCUGAAUGGAAGGGCCAUCGCUCAACGGAUAAAAGGUACUCCGGGGAUAACAGGCUGAUACCGCCCAAGAGUUCAUAUCGACGGCGGUGUUUGGCACCUCGAUGUCGGCUCAUCACAUCCUGGGGCUGAAGUAGGUCCCAAGGGUAUGGCUGUUCGCCAUUUAAAGUGGUACGCGAGCUGGGUUUAGAACGUCGUGAGACAGUUCGGUCCCUAUCUGCCGUGGGCGCUGGAGAAUUGAGGGGGGCUGCUCCUAGUACGAGAGGACCGGAGUGGACGCAUCACUGGUGUUCGGGUUGUCAUGCCAAUGGCACUGCCCGGUAGCUAAAUGCGGAAGAGAUAAGUGCUGAAAGCAUCUAAGCACGAAACUUGCCCCGAGAUGAGUUCUCCCUGAGACUUUAAGUCUCCUGAAGGAACGUUAAAGACGAUGACGUUGAUAGGCCGGGUGUGUAAGCGCAGCGAUGCGUUGAGCUAACCGGUACUAAUGAACCGUGAGGCUUAACCUUACAACGCCGAAG